rnacentral:rRNA from 1 species
GUACGGGGAGCAAGCGUUGUUCGGAGUUACUGGGCGUAAAGGGUGUGUAGGCGGUUCUUUAAGUUUGCUGUGAAAUCUCCCGGCUUAACCGGGAGGGUGCGGUGAAUACUGAGGGACUAGAGUACGGGAGAGGAAAGUGGAAUUCCUGGUGUAGCGGUGAAAUGCGUAGAUAUCAGGAGGAACACCGGUGGUGUAGACGGCUUUCUGGACCGUAACUGACGCUGAGACACGAAAGCGUGGGUAGCAAACAGG